GAAAUGCGAUAAUUAAUGUGAAUUGCAGAAUUCAGUGAAUCAUCGAGUCUUUGAACGCACAUUGCGCCCCCUGGUAUUCCGGGGGGCAUGCCUGUCCGAGCGUCAUUGCUGCCCUCAAUCACGGCUUGUGUGUUGGGCUUCCGUCCCUGGCAACGGGGACGGGCCCAAAAGGCAGUGGCGGCACCAUGUCUGGUCCUCGAGCGUAUGGGGCUUUGUCACCCGCUCCCGUAGGUCCAGCUGGCAGCUAGCCUCGCAACCAAUCUUUUUAACCAGGUUGACCUCGGAUCAGGUAGGGAUACCCGCUGAACUUAAGC
rnacentral:misc_RNA from 1 species